GAAAAUGUUCAGUCUUUCAUUAUUAAGUAUAAUGUCAACUGUAGUUUCUUUUUUUUUGUUUUGUUUUUUUGUUUUUUGAGACAGAAUCUGGUUCUGUCGCCCAGGCAGGAGUGCAGUGGCAAGAUCUUGGCUCAUUGCAAACUCUGUCUCCUGGGUUCAAGUGAUUCUCCUGCCUCAGCUUUCCAAGUAGCUGGGAUUACAGGCAUGGUGGCUCACACCUGUAAUCCCAGUAGUUUGGAAGGCUGAGGUGGGUGGAUCACCUGAGGUCAGGAGUUUGAGACCAGCCUGGCCAACAUGGUGAAACCUCAUCUCUACUAAAAAUACAAAAAUUAGCCGGGCCUGGUGGUGGGCACCUGUAAUCCCAGCUACUCGGGAGGCUGAGGCAGGAGAAUCACUUGAACCAAGAUGGUGGAGGUUGCAGUGAGCUGAGAACACACCACCGUACUCCAGUCUGGGUGACAGAGUGAGACUCUGUCUCAAAAAAAAAAAAAAAGAAUAACUUAUCAUAACCAAGAAGUGUUUAUCAUAGAAGUGUUAAAAUUAUUUAUAUAGUUCACCAUAUUAAUAUUCACAGGAAAAUAUGAUUAUUUCUAUGAGAGCAAAGGAGACUUUAAUAAAACUCAACAUUAAUUCCCAUUUCUAAUAUUUUAAAAAUUGGCAACAUAGGAAACUUCCUAACAUGAAUAAAACAUCUACCUCAAACUAAUGGUCAACACCAUGCUUAAGAAUGAAAAUCAAGAGGCAUUUUCAUAAAGCCAAGGACCAUACUGGAUAUCCGUUAAGAUAGUUAUAACAGAAUAUCAACAUUAUUAUGUAUUAUCUUCUGGAAGUUUUAGUCAAGGCAAUUAGACAUUAAAACUAAAUGCUUCUUAAAAAGAGGAAAUAAUUUUGUGUAAGUAAUAUAAUUGUAUUGAAAAAACAGAAAUU
rnacentral:lncRNA from 1 species